AUUGAACGCUGGCGGCAGGCUUAACACAUGCAAGUCGAGCGGAGAUGAGGUGCUUGCACCUUAUCUUAGCGGCGGACGGGUGAGUAAUGCUUAGGAAUCUGCCUAUUAGUGGGGGACAACAUUCCGAAAGGAAUGCUAAUACCGCAUACGCCCUACGGGGGAAAGCAGGGGAUCUUCGGACCUUGCGCUAAUAGAUGAGCCUAAGUCGGAUUAGCUAGUUGGUGGGGUAAAGGCCUACCAAGGCGACGAUCUGUAGCGGGUCUGAGAGGAUGAUCCGCAACACUGGGACUGAGACACGGCCCAGAGUCCUACGGGAGGCAGCAGUGGGGAAUAUUGGACAAUGGGCGGAAGCCUGAUCCAGCCAUGCCGCGUGUGUGAAGAAGGCCUUUUGGUUGUAAAGCACUUUAAGCGAGGAGGAGGCUACCUGGAUUAAUACUCUAGGAUAGUGGACGUUACUCGCAGAAUAAGCACCGGCUAACUCUGUGCCAGCCGCCGCAGUAAAAC
rnacentral:rRNA from 1 species